UACGUAGGAUGCGAGCGUUGUCCGGAAUUAUUGGGCGUAAAGAGCACGUAGGCGGUUUGUUAAGUUUGGGCUUAAAGACUGGGGCUCAACCCCAGGAGUGGCUCGAAAACUGACAGACUAGAGGAUGGCAGAGGAAAGUGGAAUUCCCAGUGUAGCGGUGAAAUGCGUAGAUAUUGGGAGGAACACCAGUGGCGAAAGCGACUUUCUGGGCCAUUCCUGACGCUGAGGUUCGAAAGCUCGGGGAGCAAACGGG
rnacentral:rRNA from 1 species